rnacentral:rRNA from 1 species
UACAGAGGGGGCAAGCGUUGUUCGGAAUUACUGGGCGUAAAGGGCGCGUAGGCGGCCGCCUAAGUCAGACGUGAAAUCCCUCGGCUCAACCGGGGGAACUGCGUCUGAUACUGGGUGGCUUGAAUCCGGGAGAGGGAUGGCGGAAUUCCAGGUGUAGCGGUGAAAUGCGUAGAUAUCUGGAGGAACACCGGGUGGCGAAGGCGG